GGGCAUUUAGCUUAUUCUUUGGCUGCUGUCUGAUCGUCUGGGUCUUUCUGCUGGAGGUGCAGAGCUCAUUACUGCCUAAACAGAGGAGGAGGAGAAAUCACAUUAAACUUCAAAAGAGCCCAAACCUCACAGGAGUGAACAAAGAGGAGAUGAGAGAAAAGUGGUUUCAUGAGAGUUUCAAGCAAUGAGAAUAUGGUCAGAUAAAGUGCACUGAUUCUCUUGAGGUCUGUGCAUUGCGGUGCAUUUGGACAGUUGUUCAGUGUGAGUUUGCAGGCAUGACAUGAGAUGCCCAAGUGACUGCAAAAGCCAGUGAGGAAACACACCUGUCGAGGACUGGGGCAUGUUAGCGAGGGUGAGUAGUGAUGACAGAGGGUAUGCACUUCUGCUCUUUAUAUGAAGGUUAGCAGCUGGGAAACAUACAUGCAUCCAUAUCAUAA
rnacentral:lncRNA from 1 species